GAGGGGGUGGGAGUGCGCGCAUCAUCUGCAAAGUGAGCACCGCGGUAGAUACGUCAUAAACGAAUCGAAGAGGCUGACGCGAGGGGGACGACACGUCGCUGCCGCAGUGGUGGUCAUGGAGGAUGCCAUCGACUUCAUCCAGAGCCGUCCGCUGAUCGGGUAUCAGAUGGACGGCUCCCAUCUGAACAACGUCCUGGUCAGUCUGGCGCGUCAGCAGCAGCAGCUCAUGGACACGCAGAAUCGGCUCAACGACCGUCUCGCCGACAUCGCCGACGACGUGCGAGAGAUUCGAGAGCACCAGAAGCAGCUAGAAUCCGUUAUUGGCGAGCUCGGCGGUCCUGAGCAGCUGCACCAGGUCCGGUCGCGCAUCGCCGACGUGGAGAGGGCCGUGGAUGGGCUGGUGAGCAACGUGCAGGAUGCAAAAGUCGUCGCGAAUGCGGCUGGGCGAGAUGCCGAUCAAGCCGGGCGGCUCGCCGAUGACGCGAACCGUGCGGCUUUGAGCCUUCGCGACGCGGUGGGCGCGCUGGGCGGAGACAUGGACCGGGUAGCCCACCAGCUGGAGGCGCAUCGCACAAGCAUCAGCAAAGCUCUCGGCGAUCUCGACAAGGAUCGCCACGACUUGGAGCAUCAGAUGCACGAGGCUAUGCAAGAGGUGCUGCAGCGCGCAGAGCGCAUGGAGCGCGAGAGCGGGGUAGAGCGCCUACGUCAAAUGCUGGACGAACUCAGUGAUCGCACGGAUGAGAAUUUCCGCAGCGUCGAGGAGAGCGCGCGAGCGGUAGACGCGGAGCUGUCGCGGCAGGGCGCCAAUCAAGCUGCCCUGCGCACAGAGAUCUCUGCGCUAGAUGAACGGGCCCGCACCGCGCUGGCGGCGCUAUCGAGUGACAUAGACAACAAGCACCACAUGCUGCUAGACGCCUUCCGUCAGUACGAGGCUGGUUGGACGGACUUGGAGGAGCACAUGGUGCGUGCAGGGCAGAUGUUGGCGAGCCGAAAGCAACGCUCUCCUGGCUCUACGAGUAUUCGACGCUGAGGCAUGUGGAACGCGCGGCUCAAAGCAGAAGACUCUGCGAGGCGGGAAGGACAUGCUGCGGUGCAUCUUCAAAGAAGGGAACGUGGUCAGCACUGAGUUGUUGGGGAGCUUUUCUGACGCGAGGGCCGUUAGCCUUUUUUCGCUGUCGUUGCAGGCGGGGCUCAGAGGCUUUCGGAUCUUGCUGUUGUCGAAGAAGACGUUGGUUGGGUUGCCGCCAUCAGAAGCACGGAAGCCUUGCGCACCUCUUCUUCACGUUGCCAUUCAAUAUUGGUGUGCCUGCAUGUUCGUUUGUGGCUUGACGGGUGUGCGCGCCUCCAUUCCCCGUCCCCUUCGCUUCCUCGCUGCACAAUGUCCCUGUGCUCGGCACUGCUAAAAGGCUUACCUUUUCAUGAGUUUUAUUGUUUUGUGUUCCGGGCAUCUGUGUUGCGUCGGUGCGCGUGUGUGUACAGGCUUCCUUGUGUACUUUUAUUACUAUUCUUUUCCGUCGGUGUGUGCGCGUGCGAUGCGUGUGGCAUCGCACACUCACGCAUGUGUUUAUCCACGCACACAGGCGCGCACACGCCCUUUUUCCAUAGAUCAACCUCUCAUCUCGGCCUCACCGCAUGUGCCGUUGGCUGUUGAUUGUGUAUGUGUGUGUGUGUGUGCGUGUGUGUGUGUGUGUGUGUGUGUGUGUGCCGGCGAAUGAGGUGAUUGCCACGCCCCAUGCGUGCGCGCAUCUUCGGAUAAAUGGAUGGUGGCAAAGCAACGGUACACAACGAAACUGUGCACACACGGAGAGUCGGCCGGCAAGAGAAGCGGUAGCGAUGUGGAGGUUGCACGAAAAGACGCUGCCAGGCGUCCUCUGGCUUCGUUCCGGUGGCCUCCCUUUUUUUUCUUUCUGUUUCCUUCGCCCUGCCUCCCUCGCACACACACUUCGUAAGGCCAAUGCACGGCCUAGCUC
rnacentral:misc_RNA from 1 species